rnacentral:misc_RNA from 1 species
AAGUCGUAACAAGGUUUCCGUAGGUGAACCUGCGGAAGGAUCAAUACGAAGAGGUUGAGGGAGGGAGAUUUGUUGAAAGAGAGAUAUAGACAAUGUUUUUACAAUUUACAACACUAUCACACACACAACUCAUAACAAUGGAUCUCUGGGCUCUU